rnacentral:rRNA from 1 species
GACGAACGCUGGCGGCGUGCUUAACACAUGCAAGUCGAACGAUGAACCGGGUGCUUGCACCUGGGGAUUAGUGGCGAACGGGUGAGUAACACGUGAGUAACCUGCCCUGGACUCUGGGAUAACCCCGAGAAAUCGGAGCUAAUACCGGAUAGGACCUGGAACCGCAUGGUUUUGGGUGGAAAGUUUUUCGGUCUGGGAUGGACUCGCGGCCUAUCAGCUUGUUGGUGAGGUAAUGGCUCACCAAGGCGUCGACGGGUAGCCGGCCUGAGAGGGUGACCGGCCACACUGGGACUGAGACACGGCCCAGACUCCUACGGGAGGCAG